GCCUGUCUGGGGUCUUACGUUCCAGAACCACAAUAUGAUUAUGAGGGACACUGUAGUGGAGGGCUCCGGAAAUUUCGACCACCUGGGGUUCUUUAACGCGCACUGACAUCGCUCAGUACACGGGCCUCUACCAUUUCGCCUCCACCGAAAAGCGAUUGCCGUGGCCGAGAUCAAACCAGCGACCUUCGGGAAGAUUGAUCAUUUAAAUGCACACUGAAAAUAAUUUCUAUUGCGUAAAGGCCAUAUAAUGCUUUAAUAAAGAUACGUACAAGCUGCUCUGACAAACUUGUUUUAUAGAAGACUUGUAUGAAGCCUUCAAUGAUUGUUUUUAGCAAUAAGCAAGGGGCUUCUGCGCUAAUUCUGUUCAUCUGAAUGUGUGUCUAGUGUUUUUGUUCUUUUACUGUUUUGUUGUCCUUAGUUUGCUAGCAUCUGUAAUGCUCAUUUAUAGAGUUUUUGUAAGAUUUGUUUUUCUUCUAAGGCACAUUAUCUUGGGAUUUUUUAUGCACAAGAAUAUAAAGUUUCACAUUUAUUCAGUUCUCACUGGGGUUAUUUCACUGCGUGUACAGGUACCCGUUCAGGCAGCUCUAUCGGGUAGCUGCUGAGAGAUUGGUCACCGCUCAUCCACACUUUGCAGAUAGGGUCGGUUGCAGCCUGGAAUCAUGGGUGAUGGCCCUGAGGAACAAGUUCCAACAACACAGGAAAAAAGCUACAAAACUGCUCGGAGGAAAUGCUAAUUCGAAAGAAAUGCUGUCUGCCAAAGCAAAUGCAGGCACCAUCUGAAGAAGUGGCAAACAACAAAUUGUGCCGUCUUUUUGACUGCAGCCAUCUUACUACAUAUGGAGAAACCGUUGAGUCCUUGCGAAUUCAUAACGAAAGGCUCCAGAAUAAUGCAGCCUGCCACGAUGAAGCAACAGGAAGGCCAAGGUUGUGGGCAACAGCACUGGACAGGCAUAAAGAGCUUCGCAGCCUCACCCUGUCGGAUGCUCUUUUACUGUUUCCAUUUCUUGGAACUGAGGCAUUGGAACAAGCCCUGCUCACACCUUGCCUUGUGGAGAAAGAAGGACUUACUCUACACAUUGACGGGGAGCCCGUUUUGAGUGUGCCAUCACUUCUUGCAGGAAUGGCGUGCCUGUUUGCAUCGUUUUGGGUAUUCCAUGUGGAAUACCCAAAAAAAGGCACACAAAAUGCUCGCAUUCCUUGAGCACGCGUUCCUACACCUUUCACACAUGAAGCAGAGUGUCAAAGCUCUGGAACUUAUAAAUUUUUUUUUAAUGAGUAACAUUAAUUUAGUUUCACAAUUGUAGUUUUGUAGUUUUCUUCAAGUACGUUGUGCAAGCUGGCAUUUUGGACUUCUGUGCCUUGAGAAGAGGUGAAAAAAAAGUAUGACAGACAAAUGUUAAUAUUGCAUUUUUUUGUGCAAGGUUCUUUUUUUUCUUAAACCUUGGCCAUGUGUCACAUGUGGAAUACGGCGUGCACUUGUACAACCAAUGUGUACAUUUUUUUAUUGCAAACAAGUUCUGUGGUAUCCCGCAAGGUGGAGGAAAGAUUAAGAAAGGGAAAAUAGACAACCACCUGUUUGUAGCAUGAAGCCACAAGAAAAUUCAUGCAGCGUUCUUAGGGAAAAAAAAGCUUCUUCGUUGCUGAAAAAUGCGUCCUAGUUCGGGGUCCCGGACCAGGACGAAUUUUUCGGCAACGAGGAAGCUUUUCUUUCGGCUAAAUCCAUAUGGAUUGCCUUGUGGCUUCGUGCUACGAACGGGUGGUUAUCUGUUUUCUCUUUCUUAACCUUUCCUCCACUUUGCGGGAUUCCACAGAACUCAUAGCUUUUUAGUUGCUGAAAAAUUUUUCCUGGUCCGGGGUCUGGGACCCCAGAAAAGAACGAAUUUUUCGGCAACUAAAAAGCUUUUCUUUCUGAGAAAUCCAUAUGGAUUUCCUUGUCGCUUCAGGCUACAAAUGGGUGGUUGUCUAUUUUCCCUUUCUUAAAAUUUUUUUUAUUAUUAAACCAUGCCUGGCAGCAUUUAUAAAAAUAAUUUUCAUUUUGUGAUGUCAACAAUGUGCCCAUGGCCUCGCAGGUUGGCUACUUGCUCUAAAAUGUUUUAUCCACCAUUGCAAUUUUUAGAUGGGCCACCCAGGUCUUGAGUAUUCAGUGAGAAAGCCACUUUUGAAUGUUGUGACAUCAUGAGUGAUAAAAUGGUGACUACAGGUAUCUUAUUUGCAUUUGUAUUAUUUGUGUAUGGUAUAUGUGGUAGCCAUAUAUUAUAGGUUAUAUUUAAGGUAUCCAUGUUUACAAGUUUGUCAGUCUUUUUGUCAUGAAACAAAUGUGAUCAGUUGACCUGUCUCAAUAUAUUUUUAAGGUAUCCACGAUUUAUUUCACUGUGCUAAGUUAUGGUGAACAGAAUAAUUGCAGCCGUGAAAAUUGCUGUUAAAUUUAGUUGGCAGCACAGAUCUCUAGUCAUGUGUGAAAGUGCUUUACACAUAGUACUGCGCAAUUAGCUGUUUCAGUUUAUAGAAAUGUCAUGAAUGUGUGAUAUCGAUAUCUGAUAGGGCCACCUUCUUUUACAUUUAUAUAGGCUUAUCAUUUACUGGCAGUUAAGGCACUGCUAUACAAUACCUGCAUUUUGUAUGUUUCAGUCCGCAGAAGUGCUCACUGCCGGAAAUUCAACACUAGACUUGUAUUAUAUAUGCUAUUGGACAUUUACCUACAAUAAAUAUUUUUGUCAAUGUUUGGUGUGUGUCUUCUCCAACGGCGCAAGCAGGAACCCUUUCGGAAGUUCUGCAUCGCCACUUCUGCUGAAAAGCCCCCCUCCCCCCAAAGCUUUUAUUAAUGUCUAAAUUGUCGAGAUACAGUUUUGCAAGAAUGCUAGCAUGGCUUCAGUUUUCGCGAGACUGUAUUUUGGCAAUUUAGAAAUGGCAUAGAAGCUCUAGAGGGAGUUAUGCAGCAAAGGUUACUCCCGUUUACUACCGCAAGCACUCCCCAGAGGAGU